rnacentral:rRNA from 1 species
GUAGGUGGCAAGCGUUGUCCGGAAUUAUUGGGCGUAAAGCGCGCGCAGGCGGGUCCUUUAAGUCUGAUGUGAAAGCCCACGGGCUCAACCGUGGAGGGUCAUUGGAAACUGGGGGACUUGAGUACAGAAGUGGAAAGCGGAAUUCCAAGUGUAGCGGUGAAAUGCGUAGAGAUUUGGAGGAACACCAGUGGCGAAGGCGGCUUUCUGGUCUGUAACUGACGCUGAGGCGCGAAAGCGUGGGGAGCAAACAGGAUUAGAUACCCUGGUAGUCCACGCCGUAAACGAUGAGUGCUAAGUGUUAGGGGGUUUCCGCCCCUUAGUGCUGCAGCUAACGCAUUAGGCACUCCGCCUGGGGAGUACGGCCGCAAAGGCUG